GCUGAUUUACUUGUGUUUAUUUAAAUAAAUAGUAUAAAAUACUAAAUGCGCCUAUUUUAUAUUGUAUGCAUAGUGCAUGUGUAAUACAAUAUAACGUACUAGAAUACCCAAUCUCAAUGUUACCGACUCAGCUGCAUUUCAGCAUUUUGAGCAAAAACCUCUUCAAUUAAUCUGUGAAAACAGACACACUCACAAAAGUAUUAACCAAUUCAAAGGGACUUUAACAUUUUAGAUCAAAUUAGUCCAAAAGGAAAUAUAAACUGACUGUGAGAAGAUUUCCAUUUUGGCUAUUUUUAGCCUAAAAUUUUAAAUUCACUUUGAAUUCCAGACAAUUCCCCCUGAGUAAAUCUAACUCUGACAGUAUAAGAUGCUUUUACAAUGUAAAUAAUCCUUUAUAUCUUAUUCUGUAACUGGACAUUGUGAUGGAGGACUGGUCUGUAGGGGCAUCAGACAGAGGGUGGGAGCCAUGAUCCGAGGGGCAUCAGACAGAGGGUAAGAGCAACAACUCUAGGGAAGGGAGAUCUAGUCUGUGUGAAAUUUCACACUACCACCAAGCUAUGAUCUGUAAGGCAUCAGACACGGGGUGGGAGCCAUGAUUUACAAGGUGUCAUAUGCUGGCAGGAGGUCAGGUAUGUGGAGAGUCAUAGAGGGAGGUCAGGUCUGCGGGGAUUAUGGUUGAGGGAGAUCAGGACUGUGAGAAUCAGGGUAGGAGGUAAUGUCUGUGGGGAAUCAUGGAGGGAUGUCAAGUCUGUUAGGGAUCAUAGUAGGAGGUCAUGUCUGUGGGGAAUCAUGGAGGGAGGUCAGAUCCGUGUGAAUCAUGGUGGGAGGUUAUGAAUUAUGGGGGUUGGUCAGGACUGUGGGAAUCCUGGUAGGAGGUCAGGUCUGUGGGAAAUCAUGGAAGGAUGUCAGGUCUGUGGGGAUUAUAGUGGAAGGUCAGGACAGUGGGAAACAUGGUAGGAGAUCAGGUCUGUGAGGAAUCAUUGAGGGAGGUCAGAUCUGUGGGAAUCAUAGUGGGAGGUCAGAUCUGUGGGAAUCAUAGUAGGAGGUCAGGUCUGUGGAGAAUCAAAGUGGGAGGUCAGGUCUGUGGGGAAUCAUGAAGGGAAGUCGGGACUGUGGGAAUCAUGUAUGGAGGUCAGGUCUGUGGGGAAUCAUGAUGGGGGAUUAGGAAUUAUGGGGGGUGGUCAGGAAUGUGGGAAUCGUGAUAGGAGGUCAGGACUGUGGGAAUCAUAGAGGGAGGUUAGGUCUGUGGGGAAUCAUGAAAUCAUGAAUGGAGGUCAGCUCUGUGGGACGUCAUGAUGGGAGGUUAGGAAUUAUAGGGGGUGGUCAGGACUGUGGAGAAUCAUGGAGGGUGGUCAGGUCUGUGAGGAAUCAUGAUGGGAGGUUAGGUAUGUGGGAAUUAUGGGGGUGGUCAGGACUGUGAGAAUCAUGGUGGGAGGUCAGUUAUGUGGGAGUCAUGGAGAGAUGUCAGAACUGUGGGAAUUAUGGAGAGAGGUCAGGUCUGCGGGGAUUGGAAUUAUGGUUGAGGGAGAUCAGGUCUGUGGGGAUCAUGGAGGGAGGUCAGGUAUGUGGGGAUAAUGAAGGGAAGUUAGGACUGUGGGAGUCAUGGAGGGAGGUCAGGACUGUGGGAAUCAUGGAGGGAGGUCAGGACUGCGGGAAUCAUGGAGGGAGGUCAGGACUGCGGGAAUCAUGGAGGGAGGUCAGGUCUGUGGGGAAUCAUGUAUGGAGGUCAGGUCUGUGGGGAAUCAUGAUAGGAGGUUAGGAAUUAUGGGGGGUGGUCAGGACUGUGGGAAUCAUGGUAGGUCAGGUCUGUGGGGAAUCAUGGUGGAGGUCAGGACUAUGGGAAUCAUGGAGGGAGGUCAGGUCUGUAGGGAUCAUGGAGGAAGGUCAGGACUUUGGGAAUUAUGGAGGAAGGUAAGGUCUCGUAGAAUCAUGUUGGGAGCUCAGGUCUGUGUGGAUCAUGGUGGGAGGUGAGGUCUGUCGGAAUCAUGGUGGGAGGGAGGUCAGGUCUGUUAGAAUUAUGGUGGGAGGGAGUAUGAUGUAAAAAUGAAAAAAGAUUCAUCAUGUCUAAUUGACCUGGUCUCCCAGUAUCUAAACUGGGGUCACUGGAAACCCUAUUCAGUACAUAUGAAGCUAAUUGCAUGUGUUUAUAGGAAAGCAUGAAUGUGUGUUUCUAUUCACCAAAUGGUAAUGAACAUGGCAGUUAAAACCCAGCUUUAAAGGAUCCAGUCAAGAAAUAAGAGGAAAAAAAAUGUCUAAACCAAGCUUCUCAGAUGAAGAAUGACAACAACCGCUUCUAGGCGUAAAACAAUAACUGGAUUCAAAUCAGCUUCCCCAAGAUCUGCCAUUUUCUGUCAAAUGUGA
rnacentral:lncRNA from 1 species